rnacentral:rRNA from 1 species
UACGGGGGGGGCUAGCGUUGUUCGGAAUUACUGGGCGUAAAGGGCGCGUAGGCGGUUCAUUAAGUUGGAUGUGAAAACUCUGGGCUUAACCCAGAGCCUGCAUUCAAAACUGAUGGGCUGGAGUUCUGGAGGGGAUAGCGGAAUUCCUGGUGUAGCGGUGAAAUGCGUAGAUAUCAGGAGGAACACCGGUGGCGAAGGCGGCUAUCUGGACAGAAACUGACGCUGAGGCGCGAAAGCGUGGGGAGCGAACCGG